CUGUGAACUUCAGACUGCAGGACUGAGAUCUGUCCUGACACUUUAGGACUUCAGUGUUAUCAUUGUUGUGUUCAGUCUGUUGUCUUCUCAGAGCCACAGAUGAUGAGGAAGAUGAUGAAGAUGAUAUCACUGAUUCCACUGCUGAUCACACUUGGGUUCCUGACUCAGGAAUCGUCAGCUGGAGUUGUGACUCAGUCUCCUACUGUCAAGUCUGUUCGUCUGGGAGAGACUGUAUAUCUGAGCUGCACAGCCAGUAAGGGGGUGGAUGAUGACCUGAGCUGGUACCUGCAGAAACCUGGACAGUCCCCUCAACUCCUAUUCUAUAAAAUAAGUCAACGUCAUUCUGAAACUCCUGGUCAUUUCAGUAGCAGUGGAUCUCAACCAGAUUUUACUCUGACCAUCAGUGUAGUCCAGGCUGAGGAUGUAGGAGAUUACUACUGCAUGGGUUCGUACACUGAUGGGAGCACACAGUGAUUUAGAGUCGUACAAAAACCUCCCUCAGUCAGACUGCCCAGAAACUGUACUGCUACAGCUGGGACCUUAAACAGGUGCUGAGGAACAACAGACUAUGACAUGAAACACUGAACACAGACUUAAGAGCCUCACACAGCACUGUUAUUCUGGUUACUCAUGACAGGAUCAUAGUUCACCCAACCACCUCCUCUACACAACCACAACCAUAACUUCA